rnacentral:lncRNA from 1 species
AAGCAAUUUGCUCAUAGCCAUAGCUUUCUUGUGAAAGUAGGAUAUUAACCCAGGUGUCUUGGUGCUGGAGAACAGAACUGGCCAGAGUCCAUCCUGUCUCCCACCGGCAUCCCAUUACGAAAUGAACACAGAAAAGGCAGGUCUGCAAUGCCAACAUCUAGUAUCUAUCCCAAAGACCAGGGAGAAAGGAAGGAAAGAUUCUGGUUCUGUCCUCUUCCCCAAGGCAAGGCUGGCUGCCCUACCAACAGAGGCAAAGAGAAGAGUGUGCAAGGCUGGCUGCCCUCCCAACAGAGGCAAAGAGGAGUGUGUGUUGAAAUAUCCAUUGAAUCCCUGAGACAACUGGAUCCUGGCCCAUUGAAUCAUAAACUCAAAUCUCACAUCAUAACCCCAAAUGACCUGUUACUCACCAUGUGGCCCAGCUGUCUUCAAACUCACCAGCCUCCUGCCUUAGCCUUCUAAAUGCUUGGAUUACAGGCAUGACCCACCAUAACUGGCUUUGUUUUAGUUUCAGAGAAGAUGAAACUGAUGUGCGUCAAAAAGCUGGUAGUCUGUCAAGGAAAUGAGCUGAACAUGUCUGUGUACAGCUUUUGUGCCAUCCCUGGAUGAGCGAGCUGUCUGCCUCUAUGUUCUCCACAAAAUGGAAUAUAGCUGUACACCCAAGCCAAGUUAUGGAGGCUGGGAAGACCUAGAAUGUGGCAUCACUAUUUGGUAAGAACCUUCCUAUGUCAUUGUAGAGUGAGGGACUUGGGUACCACAUGGCAAGGCAUAGUACCCAAAUCCCUUUCCUUCAUAAAAGUAUUAAUGUCAUCAAAGAGGCCCCACCACCAUGAUGCCAUCUGGGGCCUCAUGACCCCAAUGCCUGAUGCCAAAGACUCCCACCUCAAAAUACUUUUUUCUUCAGCAUAACAUUUUAUUAAUUAUCUGGGAAUUUCACAUCAUGUACUCCAAUCACACUCAGUUCCCAGUCCUUCCAUGUCAGCCCCCACCCUUGUUACUUGCCCCCCAAAAGAGGAAAAUUAAAACUAAGAAUUAAAAAAAAUUAAAAAAAUUAAAAUACACAAGUCCAAUUUAUGUUACCUAUAUACUCACUGAAGCAUGGUCAGAUUCUCAGUGGCCUGGCCCUUAAAUAGAAGUGAGUCUUCCCCCUCCUGCAUCUGAAGCCAUUAAUUGCGUAGAGCUACACUUCAACAUCUACAUCACACUUUCAAAGAGUUCUCUUCAGUGGAUUCCUGUUCUAGACCAUUACUUUGGAGACAGGGGUAGGGGAUUGUCACAAAAAGCCUUCCAUGUCCCUUCGUCUCAGUUGUACACCUGCAGUCAUCAAUAUCCCAGUGUAACUAGUCCCCUUGUUCUUCAUAGUUAGUGGAAACAUGGAUCAUGGGCCUCUCAAGGUUUCUGAUAACAUCCCAGACCAUGAACAUGGCCCUCAGGUGCAGGAGGACCACAGAUCCAGACAAAGACCAGAUCACAGCCAUAAAAAUAGCCUCAGGUGGCAGCAAAGGCCACUCAGAUUAGUAUGGCCUUUGGUGGCAGCACUAUCCAUAAACAUCAACGUAGCUUCAGGCAGCAGCACAGACUGUGAACAUCUCAUGGUCUUCAGUGGUAACACAAGCCAUGGAUAUCUACCUACAGCAGAACCAUAUAUAGAUUUGAUAAGUUUCCACACAUGAACCCAGGACACAUUUAAAUCAUGGCAGUCUACAUCCUGAUCCUUCCCUUGUC